rnacentral:rRNA from 1 species
UACGUAGGGUGCAAGCGUUAAUCGGAAUUACUGGGCGUAAAGCGUGCGCAGGCGGCUAUGCAAGACAGAUGUGAAAUCCCCCGGGCUCAACCUGGGAACUGCAUUUGUGACUGCAUGGCUAGAGUGCGGCAGAGGGGGAUGGAAUUCCGCGUGUAGCAGUGAAAUGCGUAGAUAUGCGGAGGAACACCGAUGGCGAAGGCAAUCCCCUGGGCCUGCACUGACGCUCAUGCACGAAAGCGUGGGGAGCAAACAGG